rnacentral:rRNA from 1 species
GAUGAACGCUAGCGGCAGGCCUAACACAUGCAAGUCGAGGGGUAACGGGGAGCUUGCGCCGCCGACGACCGGCGCACGGGUGCGUAACGCGUAUACAAUCUACCUUUAGCUGAGGGAUAGCCCAGAGAAAUUUGGAUUAACACUUCAUAAUAUAUAUAAUUGGCAUCAAUUUUAUAUUAAAGAAUACGGCAAAAGAUGAGUAUGCGUUCUAUUAGCUAGAUGGUGUGGUAACGGCACACCAUGGCUACGAUAGAUAGGGGCCCUGAGAGGGGGAUCCCCCACACUGGUACUGAGACACGGACCAGACUCCUACGGGAGGCAGCAGUGAGGAAUAUUGGACAAUGGAGGCAACUCUGAUCCAGCCAUGCCGCGUGCAGGAAGACUGCCCUAUGGGUUGUAAACUGCUUUUAUACAGGAAGAAACCCCUCUACGUGUAGAGGCUUGACGGUACUGUAAGAAUAAGGAUCGGCUAACUCCGUGCCAGCAGCCGCGGUAAUACGGAGGAUCCAAGCGUUAUCCGGAAUCAUUGGGUUUAAAGGGUCCGUAGGUGGAUAAUUAAGUCAGAGGUGAAAUCCUGCAGCUCAACUGUAGAAUUGCCUU